CCUACGGGGGACAGCAGUGGGCAAUAUUGGGCAAUGGGCGCAAGCCUGACCCAGCAACGCCGCGUGAAGGAAGAAGGCUCUCGGGUUGUAAACUUCUUUUAUCAGGGACGAAGCAAGUGACGGUACCUGAUGAAUAAGCCACGGCUAACUAAGUGCCAGCAGCCGCGGUAAUACGUAGGUGGCAAGCGUUAUCCGGAUUUACUGGGUGUAAAGGGCGUGUAGGCGGGAAAGCAAGUCAGAUGUGAAAACCAUGGGCUCAACCUGUGGCCUGCAUGUGAAACUGUUUUUCUUGAGUACUGGAGAGGCAGACGGAAUGCCUAGUGUAGCGGUGAAAUGCGUAGAUAUUAGGAGGAACACCAGUGGCGAAGGCGGUCUGCUGGACAGCAACUGACGCUGAGGCGCGAAAGCGUGGGGAGCAAACAGGAUUAGAUACCCCAGUAGUC
rnacentral:rRNA from 1 species